rnacentral:rRNA from 1 species
CCUACGGGAGGCAGCAGUGGGGAAUAUUGGGCAAUGGGCGAAAGCCUGACCCAGCGACGCCGCGUGAGGGACGAAGGCCUUCGGGUUGUAAACCUCUUUCAGCAGGGAAGAAGCGAAAGUGACGGUACCUGCAGAAGAAGCACCGGCUAACUACGUGCCAGCAGCCGCGGUAAUACGUAGGGUGCAAGCGUUGUCCGGAAUUAUUGGGCGUAAAGAGCUCGUAGGUGGUUUGCCACGUCGGAUGUGAAAACCUGAGGCUUAACCUCAGGCCUGCAUUCGAUACGGGCAGACUAGAGUGUGGUAGGGGAGACUGGAAUUCCUGGUGUAGCGGUGAAAUGCGCAGAUAUCAGGAGGAACACCGGUGGCGAAGGCGGGUCUCUGGGCCAUAACUGACACUGAGGAGCGAAAGCGUGGGGAGCAAACAGGAUUAGAUACCCUGGUAGUCCACGCCGUAAACGGUGGGCACUAGAUGUGGGGACCUUCCACGGUCUCUGCGUCGCAGCUAACGCAUUAAGUGCCCCGCCUGGGGAGUACGGCCGCAAGGCUAAAACUUAAAUGAAUUGACGGCUGAGAGNGCGAGACGACGACGAGGAGAG